GGGGGUGUAGCUCAAUGGUACAGUGCAUGUUUAGUAUAUAUGAGGUUCUGGGUUCGAUAUUCAGCAGACCCC
rnacentral:tRNA from 1 species